rnacentral:rRNA from 1 species
GGGAAGGCUUGGAGGGCUAAGCAGAAGGCUAUGGAGGAAAGGUUUGGGACGUUCUUCGACUCAUAUGAUAAUGUUGUCCGUCUCCUGGGCAUACUGAAGGAAAGGAAUCCGGGCACUUAUGUGAACGUACAACACAUGAGGUUGCUGAGUAUACCAGAUUUCAAGGUGUUGAAACGAGUGUUCUUCUCAUUUGCUAUGUGCAUCGAAGCUUUCCGGCAUUGUCCUCCUGUUAUGUUUGUGGAUGGUACAUUCCUGACCGGUCAGUAUAGAGGGCAAAUCCUUACUGCUAUUGGUGUGGACGGGAACAAUCAAAUCAUCCCACUUGCCAUGGCAUUUGUGGAGGGUGAGAACUUUCUCAGCUGGGUUUGGUUCUUCCGCCAAGUGAAAAUUGCCAUCGUGAAGGACCGACCAAACGUGUGUGUCAUUCAUGACAGACAUGCUGGUAUAUUGAAGGCCGUGAAGACACUUCGGAAUCCA